rnacentral:rRNA from 1 species
UACAGAGGUCUCGAGCGUUGUUCGGAUUCAUUGGGCGUAAAGGGUGCGUAGGUGGCGCUGUAAGUCGGGUGUGAAAUCCUGGGGCUUAACCCCGGAACUGCAUUCGAUACUGCAGUGCUUGAGGACUGGAGAGGAGACUGGAAUUCAUGGUGUAGCAGUGAAAUGCGUAGAGAUCAUGAGGAAGACCAGUGGCGAAGGCGGGUCUCUGGACAGUAACUGACGCUGAGGAGCGAAAGCGUGGGGAGCGAACAGG